UACAAUAAGAUAGUAUCGGUUUCUAAAGAAUCAUUUAUCGCGCUAACGUCUCUUCGCUCGUUAGUGUUAAGUAAUAACUUGCUCACCUCGCUCGAUCCUUCCUGCUUUCGAGGCCUUUCUAACCUUCGAUAUUUAGACUUGAGUCGAAAUAGGCUAACCUCGUUAGAAGAAGAAGUGCUUAAAAAUCUUACUAAACUUCAAACCUUGUAUCUUGAUCGUAACAGGCUCCAGUCUAUUGCCGCCGGCUCGUUUUCGGCUCUUUCGGCCUUAAGCAAACUAGAUUUGGCUUUCAACUUGCUUUCUGUCGUAAACUGCGAACUACUCGGGAGCCUUAAGAACUUGGAAGGCUUAAUACUCUAUAAAAAUGAAAUUAAAGUAAUUGAAGCGGGCUCCUUUAGAAUGCUUACGGCUUUAACAUACUUAGAAUUACGAGGCAAUGCCAUAACUGAGAUCUGGCCGGACGUAUUCCCGUAUUCUUUUGAUUAUAAGAGUCUGUAAGCAGCGUUUCUGCUCGUUUCGACGGAAAGUCCUUUACGGCAUUGGCACAUGCUUUACAGGAAAAUAACCCUUGACCCCACACUCCUUUGCUGGUCGCGUUGGUUUUACCACGGAAAACUCUCUUUCGAUCAUGAUUAUUGCACGCACCGCGGAGAAAUUAUACCUUGUAGCACUUUUGCCGUGGGAGUAGUUGCAGUGGAUGAAGAUACAAU